GAGGGUAUAGCUCAGUAGUAGAGUGAGUGCUUAGCUUGUGCAUGGUCCUGGGUUCAAUUCCCAAUACCUCUG
rnacentral:tRNA from 1 species